ACCAAAGCCAUAUCUCCCUGCCAUUCUCACCUGGUAUCCCACUGAAGCUAAGCAGGGUGGAGCCUGGCCAGUACCUGAGUGGGAGAUCUCCUGGGGAAAACUAAGGUUGCUGCUGGAA
rnacentral:rRNA from 1 species